UGGGGAAUCUUGGACAAUGGGCGCAAGCCUGAUCCAGCCAUGCCGCGUGAGUGAAGAAGGUCUUCGGAUUGUAAAGCUCUUUUGCCAGGGACGAUAAUGACGGUACCUGGAGAAUAAGCCCCGGCAAACUUCGUGCCAGCAGCCGCGGUAAUACGAAGGGGGCUAGCGUUGUUCGGAAUUACUGGGCGUAAAGCGCACGUAGGCGGGUCGUUAAGUCAGGGGUGAAAUCCCGGAGCUCAACUCCGGAACUGCCUUUGAUACUGGCGAUCUUGAGAUCGGAAGAGGUGAGUGGAAUUCCCAGUGUAGAGGUGAAAUUCGUAGAUAUUGGGAAGAACACCAGUGGCGAAGGCGGCUCACUGGUCCGAUACUGACGCUGAGGUGCGAAAGCGUGGGGAGCAAACAGG
rnacentral:rRNA from 1 species